GACGAACGCUGGCGGCGUGCUUAACACAUGCAAGUCGAACGGAAAGGCCUGCUUUCCCUUGUGGAUUGCGGGUACUCGAGUGGCGAACGGGUGAGUAACACGUGAGUGAUCUGCCCCCAACUUGGGUAUAAGCCUGGGAAACUGGGUCUAAUUCCCGAUAGGACUGCAGGGUGGUGCCUGUGGUGGAAAACGAUUUUCUAGUGGUUGGGGAUGAGCUCGCGGCCUAUCAGCUUGUUGGUGGGGUAAUGGCCUACCAAGGCGGCGACGGGUAGCCGGCCUGAGAGGGUGGACGGCAACAUUGGAACUGAGAUACGGCCCAGGCUCCUACGGGAGGCAGCAGUGGGGAAUAUUGCACAAUGGGCGGAAGCCUGAUGCAGCGACGCCGCGUGGGGGAUGACGGCCUUCGGGUUGUAAACUCCUUUCGACAGCGAGGAAGCCACCUGGUUGGAAGGGUGGUGACGGUAGUGGUAGAAGAAGCACCGGCUAACUACGUG
rnacentral:rRNA from 1 species